rnacentral:lncRNA from 1 species
CCCCCGGGACGGAAUUUGCGGAGUAUUUAUUUAACACUCUAUACGAGAUUGUUCCUAGCCCGUCUCUCUUUUUUCUUCUUUUGGUUCCUGGAAUUGAACCCAAGGCACUUAACCACUGAGCCACAUCCCCACCCCUCUUUUUUUCUAUUUUAUUUAGAGACAAGGACUUGCUUGAGUUUUUUAGGGCCUCUCUAAGUUGCUGAGGCUGGCUUUGAACUCGCGAUCCUCCUGCCUCGGCCUCCCAAGCCGCGGGGAUUGCAGGCGUGCGCCACCGCGCGGCUCCUCACCGGCCGUUAAGUGCUGACUUUCUCCAGGAUGCCUUUCCGAGGGGAUUCCUAAGGCUCUGGCUUAGGGCUCUGAAUCAGGGGGACAGGGGAGUGAAUUAUUCACUCAGUGAACUCAGGCUCUUGGACUGUGCCUGGCCCUAUAGUGAAUUUCACAACCAGCAGAACAGGCCUUCCGGAAGCUAACGUUUUAAUUUGCAAGGACAGAAUUUACAUACCAAAAACAUUGCAAAGGUUUUGAAUGAUUGAAAGAAGUUCAAGUGUAGAGGCACUGGAGUGUGGUAUUGCUGGCGACAGGGACACAGGCCAGGUGCAGGGAACUGGUGCAGAGGAACCAGGGAAAAUGCAGGUCACAGAGGGCCACCAAGGCCAGGCAGAGGCAAGCUGUCGAACCCUGAGGAAGCCAUUACCGUCCCCUUGGUAGAAAGAGUCCUUUGAUAUGUUCAGGGGGAUUGGAAUGGGGACAGGAAGACCAAUUAAGGGACUCUUCUAGGUUAACAGUUGUGUCGGCUGAUGGCAGUGGGUGAAUUUUAUUUAGGAAAUGAUUUGGUCCUGGAUUGGUUGUGGUGGUUGCUGAGGUUUGAAUGUGUCCUCCCAAAAUUCAUAUAUUGGAAACUUAAACCCCAAAUUCAUGUGUUAAUGGUAAUUGGAGGUGAGGCCUUAGGGACUUAAUUAGGAUUACGUCGGGGGUAGAUCGUAGGGGGUGCCUCACGAUGUCAUUAAUGGCUUUUUGAGAGGAAGAGAGACUCCAUUCCCACACUUGCCUGCAGCGCCCUCCACCGAGUUGUGAUGCAGUGCGGGGCCCUUGCCAGCUGCUGCUCCAGGCUCUGGGACUUCCCAGCCUCCGGAACUAUGAUCCAAAUAAACUUCUAUUCUUUAUAAAUUUUCCAGUCUCAGGUAUUUUGUUACAGCAACAGAAAAUGGACUUAGAUAGUGGUGACAGGAAGAGAGGUGUCAAAG